AGCAUAAUCAUUAGUUUUUUAAUUGAAAGCUGGAAUGAAGGGUCGGAUGAGAAAGUUUCUGUCUCACUUUAAUUUUGUUUGAAUUUUAUUUUUAAGUUAAAAAGCUUAGAUUUUAUAAAAAGACGAGAAGACCCUAUAGAGUUUAAUAGGUUUAGAUUUUUAUUAUUUUAGGGUUUUAUAUUGAUUGAUUUUUAACUUAUUUUGUUGGGGUGAUGUAAGAAUUGAGUUAACUUCUUUUUAUAAGAACAUUGAUUAAUGAAUAAUGGAUCCUUGAAUUUGGAUUGAAAGAAUAAAUUACCUUAGGGAUAACAGCGUAAUUCUUUUGGAGAGUUCUAAUCGAUAAAAGGGAUUGCGACCUCGAUGUUGGAUUAAAGUUUAAUUUUGGUGUAGAAGCUAUAAUUCUG
rnacentral:rRNA from 1 species